rnacentral:ncRNA from 1 species
AAAAAUGCUGUGAAGAUGUUCAGAGAAAUAUUUUUUCCGCCAGAGAGAGGGAGUCAUCGGCUGCAAGCUCCUUCAGGUUCAGGAAUAUUUCAAAUUUCGCAUUGGAGCAGAUGUCCGGAACGUAUAGCAGGAUACUGGAAAUGCAAGUAGGGACAGACGUUUGGUGUACGUUACAGCACCGGUUAUGAGUGUCUGCAGGAAGUAUCUGCAGAAAUCAGGGUGGUACCGCGAAAUUUCAGAUCUCGUCCCUUUG